UCGGGGUUGCGCGGCCCGGCUGGCGCGAGGAGGAGCUCCUCAGCGGACCCUGAGGCGCUGCGACCUACCUCGUGCCCACGCAGCCAUCUUGCCGCCGCUCGUUCACUCUCAAAAUGGCCUCCCGGCCCCGCAGCGCUCCCCGCCGAAGCCUUGGCUCAGGCCCAGGGGACGCGGCUGGUCCUCCGGGUCUCCUUUCGGUCCCGGGCAUCGGAUUCGUGUGUGGAAGCCGUGCUCGGAGGGCCUUCCCCGGCCGGAUUCGCCGCGGGCGCCCGGUGAUUCCGUAGGCCCGGGGAGGCCUGGGACUCGAGAUAAAGGGUUUGACUUCUGGGUCCAUCUGAGGGGAGAGUACUUAACCCAAGUCUAAUAUUCUUGGACACAUGCUCAGCCAGGCCUCCAAGGAGUGUGCUCCCUCCAGACUUGAAAUAAAUUCUUUCAAAGUGCU